rnacentral:lncRNA from 1 species
UUGUUUGUUUGUUUGUUUAGCCUGCCUUUUCUGUCUUUGCCUUGACAGGGGGAAGAUAUGUCUCCAUUGUUCCUGCAAGGCAUAAAAUAAUUUUCUGACUAUCCCAUCCAAAGCUCAUCCCUCAGAGGCACUAUUAUCGUGGCCUUUUUUACUUGAUUGCCAGUUCUAUACGGGCCUGCAUAAUACUUAACCAGUAGAAAAACAGCACGUACCGUCCAAUAGCUACAGUGGUAGAUAAAAAAAUGACGUGCGUGGAGGGAUUGUCUCCAGUGGAAACUAAGUGCCACGGUCUGCUGUGUGCCCUUGUGACCCAGAAAAGCCAGUGGUUUGAGUUCCAGUACCUGGGCAUAAGAUAGCCAGGUUGGCAUCUCAGGCAGCGAGGCAGAGAACUGGACCUGUUCCCGUGGCAUGACAUACUGUGUUGACAUCAUCUUAUCCCUUCAGAAUAUCCCUUCAGAAGGCUCCACUGAAGUAUUUGAUGUCAGGUGGGAACUGCCCUGUCGUCCUCUUUGUGAUAGCCUUUGCCAGGCAUAUGAUUGAUAGCCUGACCUGUCUUCCACUUGAGGGUGGGAGGAUGUCUUGGGGAGCUUUUAAUUUUUUGUAGACUUUGGAGCCAUUUACCUUGGUUGCUCAUCACUUAUUUAUAAUAUCCAAGAAAAUAUGAAGGAUUGUCUUACUGUGUUUCACCAGGUAUAAUAUAAGACAUGUUGAAAAAGAACAAUGCCAAUGUAGUUUUGAGUUUCAUAGGUUUUUUUUCUUACCAUGCUGCAUAACAGGGAAGCAUUAAAAACUACAUUUUCAGCCCGCUGUCAACAAGGUUUAGACUUACCUUAGUGUCUGUCUUGAUAACAAGGUAGUAAGGUUGCAGGCAUCUCCAACCACAGCCUCUUCUCUGCCACUCUGUACCUGUUGAACCACAUUCACAUUUUUAGCAGUGUAGUAAAUAGGCAGGAAUCUGUCUCAGGUUGCGACAACCCUCGAGGACACAGAGAUGUCUCUGGGCUUUGGAGCGUGCCAAGCUAAGGAGGGAAAUAGACUUGUGUCUUUUCUAGUUAGUCACUGUUUGCACACCCCGUGCUGGCUGCCUUUAGUUAACACAGUGUCGGGGUUUCUCCAUUACUUUUCCCCUCCCUUUUUCCUAGAGAAUAGCCUGAGUUGGUGAAAGUGAAAUGUAUAUAUGAUGUGACCCUGACUUUUUAUUUAUUUAUUUAUUUUCUUUCUUUCUUUCUUUCUUUUUGGUUUUUCGAGACAGGGUUUCUCUGUGUAGCCCUGGCUAUCCUGGAACUCCCUCUGUAGACCAGGCUGGCCUCAAACUCAGAAAUCCGCCUGCUUCUGCCUGGCAUUAAAGGUGUGGGAUUAAAGGCGUGUGCCACCACUGCCUGGCGACCCUGAUUUUCUUCACAGCUCAUCCAUGUGACCCUGCUGUGUUUCCUGAGGCCUCUGUAGCUUCUCACAUCCCUGUAUCUUACCCUUGCAUCUUUGACUUACUAUGUUUACUUUGUGUGGUGAACUCACACACACACACACACACACACACACACACACUGUAGCACCAUUCAAUUCUGACCCUGCCUCCCUGCGUCUCAUUGUCUAACCCUUCUCCUAGAUCAGAUUCUGCUUUAUCUUCCAGGUAUUUGCUUAUCUGCUUCUCCAGGGGGCAGCACCCCAGGCCCAGCUCCCACGGCCUUACCCGCAGCCUCAGGUUGAUUGCAUGCAUCAUUCACGUGCUCACUCUGCCUCACCCCCUCCCCUCGCAGCUCCCUCAGACUCUUGUGGUUCCUACCACUGGAAGCAAGCUUUCUAUGGUGGCUAGAUUCAAGGGAAGAAUUUGUGUUCGUGUUCCUCAGUAACUACUUUAAAUACAGUAAAUAUUAGUCUACACAUUUGGUUGUUUCUCUCAGUGAUUUUGAAUAGUUGGUCCAAAACUCUCAUUUUCAUACUUGAUCAUGCGCCUCCUGUGUAGCACUGUAUUGUACUACUAUACCAUCAUUUACUGUUACUUUACUGAUGGACAUCUCUGUUACGUCAGGGGUGGGUGUGUUCUUUCUCUCUUUCUUUCUGUUACCGCUAAUAGGCAUUCUGAUAAUAGCCCCUCUGCACCUGUACAGGAGAGGACCAGGGACGGAAUCACCGGCUGAUAGCUUAUGCAUAUCUUCAUCAGUGCUACAGUAUAUUAAAGUUUUCCAAGUUUCUGCCAGUUUAUACUACCAAUAAGGGAUUGUCAUUGCUCCACUUUCUAAGUACUGCCAAAGUGCUUUUUUCCUACUUAUUAAUGUGAAAUGUUGGGUAUUAGUACGAGAACUUCAUUAUAACCCUAUGUGCCUGUAGCAAAUAUAAUGUGUACAAAUUUUUUUUAAUUCCCUUAGUGAUAGCAAUGGAAAUAUAAGAAACUAGGUUAAGUAAUAGGAGAUAUUAAAAACUGCAGUGGCUCUUCUUAAACCUCAGAUGAAUGGAGGACACUACUGUGGUCACGGGAGGACCUUGCCUCGGUGUUCACACUGGUGACCACAAAUAAGGUGCAAUAAAAACGAAAUUGGUAUCAGAGUUCGACUAGACAGGGUAAUUCCAUACAUUGUGAAGAAGGUAAUAACUUCGUCUUAGGCCAUAACAGACACUAAUAAAGCUGAAGUGUUGGCCCAGCGCUAGACUGCGGGAGUCGGUAGAGCACAGUCGCCUUCAUUAACAAGGUGACUGCCUCCUACCACGUAGGAAGAGUCACUGCUUCACUGAAAUAGUUACAAGGAUUGAGAAAGCAUUUGUUAUUUUCUGGUUUUUGUCUAGUUCGGAGACUCCUCCCUCCUCCAGCCCCUUCCCUGCUUUUUUCUUUCCCUAGUUCAACUACCCAGGGUGGGCAGCAGUGUCCAGUCAGGAGUAAGAAUUCAUUGUUCUGUUGAGUUUGCUGUGGGUGGGACCUGCGUGCCUCCUGGCACUUACUUACUGUUGCCAUCUUCUCGUGUUGUUUGCCCAAAAGUCAUACCUCCAAGAACUUGGACGGCUCUGAACGUGGGAGAUGUCUAAUGGUCCUGAUGUAUUAUCGUCAUAAAUGAAAUUAAUUGGAAGUCGAGAAGCUUGGCCCGUACCUGCUUUCCUAACUCUGUGUCUUUUCUUUCUCUUAAUCCUACUGUUUGAAAUCUGUAUCGAAGAAACGCCAUCUCUUCCCAAAGAAUCGAGUAUCUGUCCUCACAUUAUACAAAUACGAAGACAGGGACUGAGGCUUUCCCCUUGUAAGCAUGCUAGAAAAAAAAAUCAGAUCUUCUAUUCUGGUUUGCACUUUUUUUUUCUUAAAUAGAUUCAGGAACUUUUGUACAGUCUGACCCUCUUACGUUACAACAGUAGUUCUAGCCACUACCAGUGUCUGGUGAAAAUGGUAUGAAAGAUGUAGUCAUGUCUUAUGUACAGAAGCACUUAUGG